UCCAUAUCAAUUUCUAAAUCCAAAAAUUUUAAAUUACAAAUUCACAUAGAUCCUAUAAUCUCGAAUAAAUAUAAAUUAAAUCUUUUAUUCUAAUCUAAAGAUAUCAAUUUUUCAUUAACAACCUCAACACUAAUAUCAAAAAAUUUCUUGAUCAACUUAGAUACGAAAUCUUUAAAUUAAAAUUUUAUACACAUCGUAUAGUCUCCAAGAGACACAAUAAGAUCUAUUAUUUAGAUCAAAGAUUCUAGCACAAUAAAUAUCCUAUAAUC
rnacentral:lncRNA from 1 species